rnacentral:rRNA from 1 species
CCUACGGGGGGCUGCAGUGGGGAAUAUUGCACAAUGGGCGCAAGCCUGAUGCAGCCAUGCCGCGUGUGUGAAGAAGGCCUUCGGGUUGUAAAGCACUUUCAGCGGGGAGGAAGGCGGUGAGGUUAAUAACCUCAUCGAUUGACGUUACCCGCAGAAGAAGCACCGGCUAACUCCGUGCCAGCAGCCGCGGUAAUACGGAGGGUGCAAGCGUUAAUCGGAAUUACUGGGCGUAAAGCGCACGCAGGCGGUCUGUCAAGUCGGAUGUGAAAUCCCCGGGCUCAACCUGGGAACUGCAUUCGAAACUGGCAGGCUAGAGUCUUGUAGAGGGGGGUAGAAUUCCGGGUGUAGCGGUGAAAUGCGUAGAGAUCUGGAGGAAUACCGGUGGCGAAGGCGGCCCCCUGGACAAAGACUGACGCUCAGGUGCGAAAGCGUGGGGAGCAAACAGGAUUAGAUACCCGUGUAGUC